rnacentral:lncRNA from 1 species
GUGAAGUGGCUGCUUCACUGUGGGAAGGCUGGUCAGUGGCUCAGGGCUUCCCCUCACAGCAUGUGAAUCAUCCUCUCACAGCAGGAUCCCAGUUGGAAGGGAUCUCAGGAAAUCCUCAAAGCACGGUCAGCACAGAGUUUAGACCAGAAACAACACGAUACGAUUCUUCUGCCAGUCAUGGCGGGAGCAAAUCCCUCUUGGUGCCUCCUGCCAAGGAGGUGUGUGGGUGCCUGUGAGAAAGAAGAGGAGGGAAGGAGAUAUGGUCUGUUUUAGGAACCGAGAUAAGAAACUCUACCGGCAGUUGAGCCCAAAAGGCUGUAGGGAAGGAGGGAAGGGAACAGAGAAAUUCAUCUUGGGCGUUUGAGAUAAGAGUCAUGGUUUCAGAAAACAUUUUUUUUUUUUUAAUUUAUUCUUCAGAACCUUGAGGACUAGGAGCAAAUUAUGAUACAUGGCCUAACUCCUCUGAUCUUUUAUGUCAUACAGGCAUUUGCACUUAGGGCAAGUGACUGAAGAAAAGCUAUGCUGCUGCUUGUGCUGCCUCUGCCCAGGAUAGGGACAAAUGGAAAUCACACCAGUGAGGGACAGAAAGGACCAAAAACGUGUUUUCCCUUUGAAGUUUCCUUGGGAAGAGCCCCCAGUAAAGACCAUCCACCAGAGAGAGGUGGUGUCAUUGUGCCACAUGUGCAGGCACAGCCCAGCUCCAAGCCAGCUUCAUCCAAUGCAGGCACUGGGACACAACAGAGGAAAACCAGGAAGAGCUUUAAACUAAGAAAUGAUGGAGCAAGUCUGGAAGUGUUUUUCCUAUAUGCAAUUAUGAGCAGACUGCAAGAAGAAAGCAAGGCAAAGGAAGAUGCAUCAAUCGAAAAAAACAAUGUCAGUGGUAGGAAGAAUACCCAGCCAAGAGAUGAAGAGUACAAGUAUUUAUGACAACGGAAUGCAGCACAGAGUCUGGCCAGGAUGGCAACUAGCAGUGCUGCUGGCACCUUCCCUCUCACUGACAGAGCAAAAAAAAAUCAUGAACAGCAUCACUGACAACACAUCAGGCCAUGGACCAAUGUUUAUUUGCUUUUUCCAUUUGCAGUACUCAAUAAGGAAUGUUAAUGGAAAGUUGUUUAAGCUCAACAGGCAAAAGCUAAACUCAUGAAUAAGAGGUCUUGGAACAUUUUUAUUUGAAAUUUCCUUCUUGUUCCUCUCACCCCCUCCACCCCUCCCCUUCUUUCCUAUUAAACUGAAGUCAAUUUCCCUAAUAAAGUUCAAGGCUUUUAAAUCCA